AAGGUGGGAGGGAAGCGAGCAAGCGAACAAAGCCAAGGGAGGCGUGAGCGGUCUCGUGAGACGCACGGAAUCUAACGAGAGGGUACUACGUCGCGACUACGCUGCUGCUGGCGGUGGUGGUGGUGCUGGUGGCGGUGGUGGCGGAACGAGGUCUGCCAUGACUCCUGCUGCUCUGCCAGUCUCGGACGCUGAGGUGGGGCGCAAAACAAGGCAAAAAGGAGAGCAAAACAAGGCAGAGCAGGGGGGAACAGCGUGUGGCAGCAGCAACCCAUGCAUGAGAUCGCCGCGGCGUCUACAUCAGAGCCGCACAGUAGUACUGCAAACGAUACGUAGAACUGCCACAGCAAACAAAGAAAGGAGAACGGUCCUCUGAACGAUUAAGCAUUCAGGUGUGGCAGCUCUAGUAGCUCUAACAUUGUUGGUCUUCUGCAGGACCUUUGUAAUAUAUUGUGGCAGUCGAAAUUAAGGAGCAGGUUCUCGCACGCCCGCCUCCGAGCUCGAACCCGGUUAACCUGGCCAGGUCAAAUCAAGAGUCCCAAUAGCAUGUGCCGGAUGGGGUCCAGCCCACCGCCCCGGUGGGACCCAGCGACGGCUCCACCGAACUACCUACCGCAUGGUCGAAACCACCGCCGGGGGCCACACAUGAAUCCCGCUCAUCACCGGGCCCCAUCGAACGAUGCAUAUCCAAGUUACUGUUGUCUUAUUUAGUCCUAUGUGUAUGAUCGUUGUUACUCAUGUUUGUUCCGGACAAGGCGAUAAAGACCGGUGACGGAUCUUAUCAUCUGAUUUGUGUGGAGGAUAUAAAGAGAUGUUGACUCUUUAAAAAUGUUCAGAUUUAUUCUCAUA